rnacentral:rRNA from 1 species
GGACUACAGGGGUAUCUAAUCCCGUUCGCUCCCCAUGCUGUCGUGUCUGAAGGUCAAAUCGGAGCCAGGACGCCGCCUUCGCCUCUGGUGUUCUGCCGGAUCUCUACGCAUUUCACCACUACACCCGGCAUUCCACGUCCCUCUCUCCGUUUCUAGACGACCAGUCUGGCAUAACCCUGCCAGGUUGAGCCUGGCGCUUUCAUACACCACUUAGUCAUCCCUCUGCACACGCUUUACGCCCAGUAAAUCCGGAUAACGCUUGCCACCUACGUUUUACCGCGGCGGCUGGCAC